rnacentral:lncRNA from 1 species
GUCCGUCCGUCGUCCACACUUCGGACAAUAACUCAAAAACACUUUCACCAUUUUCCAUGAAACUUAAGUGAAUUGUUUAUAUCUAUUGACGUAAGCUCCCUUUCGUUUUUUUUUUAAUUUCAGAUUUUAAGUUUUGGAUUUAUGGGGCUUUAUUCAUAAAAAGGGGGGAUUUUCAACACUUCGGACAAUAACUCAAAAAGGCUUUCACCAAUGUCCAUGAAACUUUGGUGAAUUGUUUAUAUCUAUUGAUGUAAGCUCCCUUUCGUUUUUUUAAAUUUCAGAUUUUAAGUUUUGGAUUUAUGGGGCUUUAUUCAUAAAAAAAGGGGGAUUUUCAACACUUCGGACAAUAACUCAAAAAGGCUUUCACCAAUGUCCAUGAAACUUUGGUGAAUUGUUUAUAUCUAUUGAUGUAAGCUCCCUUUCAAUUUUUAUAAAUUUCAGAUUUUAAGUUUUGGAUUUAUGGGGCUUUAUUCAUAAAAAAAAGGGGGAUUUUCAACACUUCGGACAAUAACUCAAAAAGGCUUUCACCAAUGUCCAUGAAACUUUGGUGAAUUGUUUAUAUCUAUUGAUGUAAGCUCCCUUU